GUUACGUAUAGCUUUAUAUCAACCCAUUAGACACUAUUGAAUUGAAGAAAAGAGGACAUUAUUCUAGAGUCAAAUUAAGAUGAAGGCCAUUACUAUCAUUUUGAUUGUUCUGCUUGUUCUUUCCGUUGGGAUUGAAAAUGAAGGGCCAUUGAAAGUGAUUGAAGCAAGAACCUGUCAAGAUAGGUUGGGCGCGCUAAACUGUAUACAAGACGAAUGUCAUAUUAGUUGCAUAAAAAAACAUGGAAAGUUAACAAAAGUUGGGUGCAGUAUGCCUUUAUAUGAUUGCAUAUGUCUCUACCCAUGUUAAUAAGUGUUUGACCUUCUUCCUACAUUGUCCCUAUAUGAAUGUCAAUUUAUUUGUACCAGACAAUGAUGGAAUCAAAGAAAAUAAAAUUACUUUUUGGUAAUA